AGUAGAAAGUUACUUAACCAACGGUAAACUAUGAAAAUUCAAGUGUUAAAUCACUGAAUUUUAAAGUUCACUGAGGAAAGUCCGUCCACCCCAUAUUUUAUAUGGAAGUAAUUGCUCAUGAAAAUGAGGCGGAGCAAUCUGCGGCUCUGGGUAAGAAACACACGGCCAUUAAGAAUAGGAAUGAUGUGCGCGAAGCAUUGGGUGACCGAUGUUAGUUAACCCACAGACGACCUUAAUGGAAACGAUGAAAUCCGAACCCCUUUUGGUGCAAGUCAUGUUGACGCUUAGUUGAAUGUUAAGACAGUCUGUUCGACACUUUGUAACGAAGACUGACAAAAGACGGCUUAUUACUCUCUACU
rnacentral:RNase_P_RNA from 1 species